CAUAGGACCUGCCACUGGUACACAUUAUAGACAGAACACGAUAGGCACUUCCUAGUAUGAUGCUUGAAGCAUUAGGCCUGUUUACUUCCCUCUGCGAAGCGCUGAAACAAGAGAACAAAAUCUUUGAGGAGCACAGAAAGUCCAUUCAGCUUAACAGCAUGUUUGAGCACCCUGGACUCAAGCAGUCUGUGUGAGGCACAGAGGGCGCUGAUUUUUCUUGUGGGAGAGCUCCUCUGGGAUCCAGAGGGAGAAAUGACAAAAGACCACAGCCAGGAAAGAUGGGGACAGAUCAAGCCUUUACAACAGUCCAGGGCUAUAUGUGAGCAGCACAAGCAAGAGGGAGACUACCUAAGCCCUUUCAGGGAACCUCGGCAAGCUGCAGAGAAUCCUAUCUCAUUAUUAUGAGCUUAAGCUGCUGAUAAAGUUGUGCUACAGUUCAAAACAAGACACUUUUCAACUACCCAG